rnacentral:rRNA from 1 species
GGAUUGCCUUAGUAACGGCGAGUGAAGCGGCAACAGCCCACACUGAAAAUCGCUUCGGCGAGUUGUACAGUGAAGACGUAGCUCUUGCAGAAGGCGGCCUCUGUAACUUCCUUGGAACAGGAGACCAGAGAGGGUGAUAGUCCCGUGCCAGAGGCUGCUGACUGAUAGAGCGCGUUCCAAGAGUCGGGUAGUUUGGGAUUGCUGCCCUAAGCGGGAGGUAGACUCCUCCUAAGGCUAAAUAUUAACGAGAGACCGAUAGUGGACAAGUACUGUGAAGGAAAGAUGAAAAGAACUUUGGAAAGAGAGUUAAAAGACUUGAAACCGUUGAGGAGGAAGCAGUGUGCCAGGCAUAGUCGCAGGAUGAGGAGGAGAAGGGAGGCGGAACCUGAGCGGGACUGUCUAAGCUCUCCGAAUCAGCUGUGGCGCCUGGUAGACUGGCCCGUCUUGAAACACGGACCAAGGAGUCCAGCCUAUGUGCAAGUAGAGAGACAGUAAAUCUCGAUGCGCAACGAAAGUGAUCUCUGUAGCAGCAGAGGCCGCGUCAGCGAGCUCAGCAGAUAGGCUGGGACCCGAAAGAUGGUGAACUAUGCUUGGGAAAGGCGAAGCCAGGGGAAACUCUGGUGGAGGCUUGU